GAUGAACGCUGGCGGCGUGCCUAAUACAUGCAAGUCGAGCGAACAGACGAGGAGCUUGCUCCUCUGACGUUAGCGGCGGACGGGUGAGUAACACGUGGAUAACCUACCUAUAAGACUGGGAUAACUUCGGGAAACCGGAGCUAAUACCGGAUAAUAUAUUGAACCGCAUGGUUCAAUAGUGAAAGACGGUUUUGCUGUCACUUAUAGAUGGAUCCGCGCCGCAUUAGCUAGUUGGUAAGGUAACGGCUUACCAAGGCAACGAUGCGUAGCCGACCUGAGAGGGUGAUCGGCCACACUGGAACUGAGACACGGUCCAGACUCCUACGGGAGGCAGCAGUAGGGAAUCUUCCGCAAUGGGCGAAAGCCUGACGGAGCAACGCCGCGUGAGUGAUGAAGGUCUUCGGAUCGUAAAACGCUGUUAGUAGGGAAGAACAAAUGUGUAAGUAACUAUGCACGUCUCGACGGUACCUAAUCAGAAAGCCACGGCUAACUACGU
rnacentral:rRNA from 1 species